UGCGCCGAAUGAGUUUCCGAUCGCGUUGCUCUUUGGACUGGACUGGAAUCGUGCGAGUUCGAGACUGUUGAAAGCUGUUUUCGAUCAUUUCGAAUCGUCUCUCAUGUUAUUGUGUUCACAAGUUCGAACCUGUUGGAUUUUAUUCUGUCCCUACGAGACAUUGUUAUCUGCCUCAUCAUCGUGAUUGCGAAAUGGAGGGAGUUUGAAGGUUAUUUGCUUUAUUGCACGAUGAAUUCCAUCUGAAAUUGUUUCUCGAGGAAUUGUCUUCUACAAUUGUUUUUUGAUUUGUCGAGGAUCUGUCGAGGAAUUGUUUCUCAAUAUUUGUCGAGGAAUUGUUACCUGAUAUGUAUAAUCAAAAUGCCGAUUCUCUCCGUGCUAGAAGAACAUCUAUUGUUCGUAAAGCUGUGGCAAUGUCUGAAAUGUUGAAGGAAUCUCUGGAGAAACUCCAACAAAUGGAUCAGCUUAGAGAAUUAUUUGUAAUAGAAAGAAGAGCUUUCAAGAAUUCAGAUGAAAUUUGAAUGUGGAACAGAACGUAAUUUCGCUUGAGUUGUCUAAGGAAGGACAAGUAGACGGUUGGCGAUCGACUUUUGAGCAGUUCAAGAACAACACUUCAGAUCAUGGGACCAAACUUGGCUAGGCA